GCCUGGGUGGCUUAAUUGGUUAAGCAUCUGACUGUUGAUCUCAGCUCAGAUCUUGAUCUCAGGGUUGUGAGUUCAAGUCCCAUGUUGGGCU
rnacentral:tRNA from 1 species